rnacentral:rRNA from 1 species
GGAUUCCCCUAGUAACUGCGAGUGAAGCGGGAAAAGCUCAAAUUUAAAAUCUGGUAGUCUUUGGCUGCCCGAGUUGUAAUCUAGAGAAGCAUUAUCCGCGCUGGACCGUGUACAAGUGUCCUGGAAUGGACUAUCAUAGAGGGUGAGAAUCCCGUCUUUGACACGGACUCCCAGGGCUUUGUGAUGUGCUCUCAAAGAGUCGAGUUGUUUGGGAAUGCAGCUCUAAAUGGGUGGUAAAUUCCAUCUAAAGCUAAAUAUUGGCGAGAGACCGAUAGCGAACAAGUACCGUGAGGGAAAGAUGAAAAGAACUUUGGAAAGAGAGUUAAACAGUACGUGAAAUUGCUGAAAGGGAAACGCUUGAAGUCAGUCGCGUUGGCUGGGGAUCAACCUUGGCUUGGCUUACUUCCCAGUUGACGGGUCAGCAUCAGUUUUGACCGGUGGAUAAAGGCUAGGGGAAUGUGGCACCYUCGGGUGUGUUAUAGCCCUUGGUCA